GGGAGGGAUGUUUCUUGUUUUUUUCCCACACGGCAGACACUGAUGUACGUCCCUGUGUGAGCCCUUGCACUUUGAGUUUCUUUGUCACGGAGGACGGUGUUGUUGUCGUGUCGAAGCGGCGUUCAAAACGCACGGUGGCUCGCACUGCUUUUACGGAGCAGGACGGUCGCAUCAUUUAAGAGGAGGUGUGGGGGGAACAGACAAACGACCUGAAUAAGAAACGUUUUAAAACACACAUGGCUUUUCCUUUGAAUGUUCGAUUUGAUUUGAAUUUGUCUAUUUUUAUAUUCCUGAUGUAUUUCUCUACAUCGUUCCACAUGUGCCCAUCGUUACAAAUGACUGCAAGUGGAGAAUGAAUUUGUAUGCGCAUAUUUCAUCGGAGGUUGAUGUGGAUGGAAUCCCAAGCCCAGGGAGCCCCGGGGAGAGGGAUUCUGAGGAGCUGUGAUUGGGUGGGCUGCUCAGCGGCCCAUCGCUGACGGCUGGGUGAACGGGUGCCCUUCCUCCUGAUGCACAGGAUACUAUACAGUCAGCAUGCUUGUUUUCAUUUGAGUGUGGAACCCGGUCUCAAUGCCUCAUUAAAUGACGCGUUGUUAUCGGAAGAUCCCUUCUUUUUUUUUUACGCAAAAAAAAAAAAUUUCUAUUUUACUUGGUGACUCAGGAUUAUUUUCUUACACAGUUAUUAUUAGGCCCAGCUUUUGGUUUGCACAUGGAUACAUCUCUGUAGGAUCACCUGGGCCUCGCAUUGCAUUCUGGGAGUUGGUUUUGGGCGGGAACAGAUUUGGACAAACUACGGCCCUGGCCAGGGAAUACUGGAAGGUUCGGUCUGGAAUGAACAAAGUACGCCAAGCGUGGACACCAGAACGCCCUCUCACCUCUGCCCUCUGUCCUCUCUCCUGCUUCCUCGCGGUUCCUCCUACUCGUUUCUGUGUUUCUUGAUCUUACCCCGCGGCAGCUGAUGCCCACUGCACUCCCUCCCUGUCGGCCACGUAGCAUUUUUCAAACGAAAGACCCACCGACGUGGUUCGAGAACAUGGAGGUACCGCUGAGGAAUCCUUGAAGCUCUCAUCUCUGAAGCGUUCCACCGCCGUGGGAAAAGGUCCCCGGUUUGAAACUCAUGUCAGAGAUGCCUGGCAUUAGUCUGGCUAUUGCCAGACCAAGCUCAAUCGUAGAUUGAGUUGGUCUGGGCCAGCUGCCGUCAUUUUCUUCAGCACAAGCGGCGUGAUCAACGGGCCUAGUUCCACUGACUGACCGCGAUUGGCUGCUUGCCGUCGCUUCCCUGUCGUCAUCGGGUUAAACCAGCCAAUAGCACGCCAAGGGGAAAAGCCAGCUUGGUGAUUAGCUCCUGCAAAAACGUAUCGGAAGCAGAAAGAAAUGUAUUGCUCUUCUCUGGACCCUUGUGCAGGGCGGACUCAAAUGGCCGGCAGAAUGGGCGGGGCCCCCCAGUCGAGGACGGAUGUUUCACCGGUCCUUUUCCCCGGCAGCUCUCCAGGUGAUUGAGGCGCAGGGGGAGACGGAGGGGCGUCAGCCCAAUAGGCCCCUCAGCGCUGGGGAGAGCCUAUCAGCGUGGUUUAUGGAGCUAUUGACCGGGCGCUGGGGGGGCUGUCGGUCGCUGCCUCUGGGGGCCGGAUAAACCACAGCGCCGUUUGGAGAGAAUUAUCUCACCAGGAAAUAAAAUACCAUAAAACGUUUAUAUAUAUAUUAGUGCUGUCAAGCGAUUCAAAUAUUUAAUUGCAUUAAUUUACUAGUUAACUCGCGAUUAAUCGCAAUUCUUUUUUCUAUGCUAAAUAUCCCUUGAUUUCUUUGUCCCAUUAAUUGUUCUCAUUUUAAUGCUCUUAUCAACAUGGAGAAGUGCAGCGGCCUGCCUUGUGCAAAUGUUUUUUUAUUGAUAACAACAUUGGCAUAUACUGAUCAAAACAGGACGAUACAAAAAUAAAAGCCUAUAGUGCAAUUAAACGAUGAACAUACAAACAUACUGCCUUGAACAUAGCAGUCAGGCUACUGCUUCUUUGUUUUGAGCCAAAGAAAAAAUAAAAAAAAAAAUAAUAAGUAAUAAUAAUAAAUAAAAUUGCGUUAAUCGCACGAUAAAAAAAUUUAACGCUGUUAAAAUUGGUUUGCGUUAACGCCGUUAAUAACGCGUUUAACUGACAGCACUAAUAUUUAUAUAUAUAUAUAUAUAUAUGUUGCAAUAAGGCUUUCAAAAUGCGAAUUGAGAUGACUUUUUGAGCAGAAUUAGGGUAGCUGAAUCAAUACAAAUUCAUGAAUGACCAAUAACAUCCAUGUUAUUAAUAACAGUGAUGUUAUUAAUUACAUCCAAUGUUAUUAUUUAUGUUAUUAAUAACAUUAAUAACAUUUAUGUUAUUAAUUACAUCCGUGUUAUUAUUCAUGUUAUUAAUGACAUUAACAACAUUCAUGUUAUUAAUAACGUCCAUGUUAUUUAUAACAUCCAUGUUAUAGAAAAAUCCAUGUUAUUCAUGACGAACAGCAGCAACAGCAAAAAGAGGCGGGAACGAGGGG
ensembl:lncRNA